AACGAACGCUGGCGGCAGGCUUAACACAUGCAAGUCGAGCGCCCCGAAAGGGGAGCGGCAGACGGGUGAGUAACGCGUGGGAACGUACCCUUUGCUACGGAAUAGCUCCGGGAAACUGGAAUUAAUACCGUAUGUGCCCUACGGGGGAAAGAUUUAUCGGCAAAGGAUCGGCCCGCGUCGGAUUAGCUAGUUGGUGGGGUAAUGGCCUAUCAAGGCGAAGGUCCAUAGCUGGUCUGAGAGGAUGAUCACCCACAUUGGGACUGAGAAACGGCCCAAACUCCUACGGGAGGCAGCAGUGGGGAGUAUUGGACAAUGGGCGCAAGCCUGAUCCAGCCAUGCCGCGUGAGUGAUGAAGGCCUUAGGGUUGUAAAGCUCUUUCACCGGAGAAGAUAAUGACGGUAUCCGGAGAGGAAGCCCGGCUAACUUCGUGCCAGCAGCCGCCGCAGUAA
rnacentral:rRNA from 1 species